rnacentral:lncRNA from 1 species
UGAACUAUCCAGGGGGAAACAUAAAAAACUAGCAGAAGCCCUACACAAUAAUAGCUGGGUGACGGACAUUAACAUCCAUGCCGGACUGACAACACAACACUUGCAAGAAUUCGUCUCUUUAUGGCGACUACUAGCGCCAGUAACACUGCAAGAACUACAAGAAGACACAAUACGUUGGAAAUUCACACAAAACGGACAGUAUUCAGCGGCAUCAGCAUACAGGGCGCAGUUUCU